GCUGAACCUGAGCACUAGCCAGCCAGCCAGGAGGUGAGGGAGAGCAGGGAGGGCUUGACACUUCUCCCUCUCGUCGUCUUGUUUCACUUGAAUCUGAGAUAAGUCCUCCAGUCAGGAGCCAAAAGCAUACCAGGACCCCCUUGCGGUGUUACACUUGCCUGUUCCCCAUGAUCUCUCCGAUGGAGUGCUUGAAGUUCACCACAGUUUGUGAUCCAUCUCAGAAAUGUCUCACAUCUGUGACAAAAGGACAAAAAGGCGCCCUCAAGCUGGUAAUCAAUGAGAAGAGUUGUGGGGAUCCUUCCAUGUGCUCGACCCAUGGCAUCCGCCCCAUGUUUGGAACCAAUUUCACCUACUACAUUUCCUGCUGCUCCACAGACCUAUGCAAUGGGGUCUCCAGGGGGCCCAGCAUGUUCUGGGGGCUGUUGGCAUUUGCUCUCCUGUCAUUCAUCCUGGUCUCCCUCCACUGAAACAGAUCAACCCAAAUGUUGCCUUCUCCACUGCUGUGAGGACUCGGGACCACUCACCACAUUGCUAUUUCCUCCCAGCCUCCUAGAAGAGCCACUUUCUCACAGUGCUUUGGCGGGUGAGGGGAGCCUAAUUCACAUCCCCUUUCCCCAUCCUUGUUGUUUCCCUUUCUUCUGCUAUUUUCACAAGUGAAAUUUGGGGAUGGGAAAUAAAAAUUGUAUUCAAUUUA